rnacentral:rRNA from 1 species
CACCUUUGACAUGUACGGAAGUUGCCAGAGAUGGCUUCGUGCUCGAAAGAGAACCGUAACACAGGUGCUGCAUGGCUGUCGUCAGCUCGUGUCGUGAGAUGUUGGGUUAAGUCCCGCAACGAGCGCAACCCUUGUCAUUAGUUGCUACGAAAGGGCACUCUAAUGAGACUGCCGGUGACAAACCGGAGGAAGGUGGGGAUGACGUCAAGUCCUCAUGGCCCUUAUAGGUGGGGCUACACACGUCAUACAAUGGCUGGUACAAAGGGUUGCCAACCCGCGAGGGGGAGCCAAUCCCAUAAAACCAGUCGUAGUCCGGAUCGCAGUCUGCAACUCGACUGCGUGAAGUCGGAAUCGCUAGUAAUCGUGGAUCAGCAUGCCACGGUGAAUACGUUCCCGGGUC